rnacentral:rRNA from 1 species
GGUUUCUUGAUUAUAUGAGAAAUUUAACCUGCCCACUGAAAAUUUUUAAAGGGCCGCAGUAUUUUUGACUGUGCAAAGGUAGCAUAAUCAUUAGUCUUUUAAUUGAAGGCUUGUAUGAAUGGUUGGAUAAGGUAAAUACUGUUUUAUAUUAAUCAAUUGAAUUUAGAUUUUAAGUAAAAAGACUUAAAUAUAAUUAAGGGACGAGAAGACCCUAUAGAGUUUAAUAAAUGAGUUAAUUAAUUGAGUUAAUAAAUAUUUUUUAAUUAUUAAGUAAUUUAUUUAAUUGGGGUGAUUAAAAAAUAAAGAAAACUCUUUUUUGAUUUUAAUAAUAUAAUUAAUUGUAUGAUCCAUAAAUAAUGAUUAUAAGAUGAAAUUACCUUAGGGAUAACAGCAUAAUUUCUUUUAAGAGUUCAUAUUGAAAGAGAAGAUUGUGACCUCGAUGUUGGAUUAAGAUUAGUUUUGGGUGUAGAUGUUUAAAUACUAGGUCUGUUCGACCUUUAAAAUCUUACA